UAAGUACAUGCCGUAUUAAGGCGAAACCGCGAAUGGCUCAUUAAAUCAGUUACGGUUUAUUAGAUGUUGACCAUCUACAUGGAUAACUGUGGAAAAUCUAGAGCUAAUACAUGCACAAAAGCUUUGACCUUAACAGGGAGAAGCGCAUUUAUUAGAACAAGACCAAUGGGUUCCCGUAACACGGAUACCCUUUUAGUGGUGACUCUGGAUAACUUUUGCUGAUCGCAUGGCCUAUGUGCCGGCGACGAAUCUUUCAAGUGUCUGCCUUAUCAACUGUCGAUGGUAGGUUAUGCGCCUACCAUGGUUGUAACGGGUAACGGGGAAUCAGGGUUCGAUUCCGGAGAGGGAGCGUUAGAGUUGGCCACCACAUCCAAGGAAGGCAGCAGGCGCGCAAAUUACCCAAUCCCAGAACGGGGAGGUAGUGACGAAAAAUAACAAUACGGGACUCUUAUGAGGCCCCGUAAUUGGAAUGAGAACAAUCUAAAUCCUUUAACGAGGAUCUAUUAGAGGGCAAGUCUGGUGCCAGCAGCCGCGGUAAUUCCAGCUCUAAUAGCGUAUACUAAAGUUGUUGUGGUUAAAAAGCUCGUAGUUGAAUCUCAGUUCGAGUCAGACGGUCCACUUGCCAGUGGCUACUGUCUGGCUGAACACUUUAUCGAGUUGUCCUUCAGUGCUCUUAACCGAGUGUUGUAGGCGAUCGAUACGUUUACUUUGAAAAAAUUAGAGUGCUCAAAGCAGGCUUGCAAAGCCCGAAUAAUGUUGCAUGGAAUAAUGGAAUAGGACCUCGGUUCUAUUUUGUUGGUCUUCGGAAUCCCGAGAUAAUG
rnacentral:rRNA from 1 species